UAAUUUAUAUAAUCUUCUUAUAUAUUUUUUAAUAAAAUAGUAUCAGUUUCAAAUGAAAACUCACUCAAGAUUAUCUGAUAAUCUUGAUUUUGGUAAUUUAUUUAUUUUCAAUUCACAUGAACUUAAUCAAAAAAUAAGCAACAGUUCGUUUUAUAAUCAAUGAUUAAGAUUUGCUUUUGCAAUUUUCUCUGAUUCUCUUGCAGGUUGGUGAUCGUCUGUAAGAGUUGUUGAGUGAUUUCGUUCUCUGGACUUUGUCUCCACCGUUCGCGACAGUGUCUACGGUUCUUUGUCCUUUUUCGCGACUCCUCUGAUCGGGAUCGCCUCCUGCGGUCCCUCCGAUCAGUUGCGAGACCGAUCUACCAUCACAACGUCCGCCCUCGAACCAUUUGCUCUCUGUAGCAGUGCGAAUCUGGCAGAGUCUAGCUUUGACCAGGUCCUCCACUGCUGGUGGUGUUUGCUCUCUUCUCUCAUUUUCGUCAAUCCUCAGGGAAAGCACUUCGCGAUGAUUGUGACGUCUUGGAUUAUACUCCUAUUACAUGUCAUCGAAAGGUUGGGUGUUUGUUUUACGUCAGGUUUAUCACUGAUGAUGUAUAACCAGAGAUAGACUUACACGGUCAGAUUAUGGUUUAAUCUAUUUCUCUCUUUAGUAUAAUACAUACGUCAAGUGUAACUUAUCUUUUCUCCUCCUCGGUUCGGACUGAACGGAUCUGGAUAUGCUAGUUUUUUUUUACAUCAUUUUCCAAUCUGUUUUUUAUUCUUAUCUAAUAUGAAUUAUGAC
rnacentral:lncRNA from 1 species